rnacentral:misc_RNA from 1 species
UGUAUCUGUUUAAACCCUCAUUUAGAUUAAAAAAUCAAAAGUUAUUACAUGUAAUAUUGUAAAUAUUUUAUUGACCUGUAUAUUGUUCUGUGUAAUGUGACAUCAUGUUAUUUGAUAAGAGUUGUCCCAUGCGAAAUAGAAUGUAGUAGAAUUUGUGCGUAUAUGUAUACAAGAUGAAUUCAGAGAGUGACAUGACAAACCGAACCACCAGUAAAUUCAUCUGCAUGAGAAUCUGACUUCAUGAUUUCAAGUACGUGUACGUUUGAAUAUUUAAAAAGUUGUUUUACCCAUAGGCUAUGAUAAAUUGAUAAAUAUAAUAAAUGAAUAUAAUCCUGCCUUUAAUAAACUUGGGAAAAUC